UACGUAGGGGGCAAGCGUUGUCCGGAUUUAUUGGGCGUAAAGAGCUCGUAGGCGGUUUGUUGCGUCGGCUGUGAAAUCCCGAGGCUCAACCUCGGGUCUGCAGUCGAUACGAGCAAACUAGAGUGUUGCAGGGGAGACUGGAAUUCCUGGUGUAGCGGUGAAAUGCGCAGAUAUCAGGAGGAACACCGGUGGCGAAGGCGGGUCUCUGGGCAACAACUGACGCUGAGGAGCGAAAGCGUGGGGAGCGAACAGG
rnacentral:rRNA from 1 species